GACAUGAUCAGGGUGAAAUUGUAGAGC
rnacentral:piRNA from 1 species